GAGUUUGAUCGUGGCUCAGAUUGAACGCUGGCGGCAUGCCUUACACAUGCAAGUCGAACGGCAGCAUGAUCUAGCUUGCUAGAUUGAUGGCGUGUGGCGAACGGGUGAGUAAUACAUCGGAACGUGCCCUGUAGUGGGGGAUAACUAGUCGAAAGAUUAGCUAAUACCGCAUACGACCUGAGGGUGAAAGUGGGGGACCGCAAGGCCUCAUGCUAUAGGAGCGGCCGAUGUCUGAUUAGCUAGUUGGUGGGGUAAAGGCCCACCAAGGCGACGAUCAGUAGCUGGUCUGAGAGGACGAUCAGCCACACUGGGACUGAGACACGGCCCAGACUCCUACGGGAGGCAGCGAGUGGGGAAUUUUGGACAAUGGGCGAAAGCCUGAUCCGAGCAAUGCCGCGUGUGUGAAGAAGGCCUGGU
rnacentral:rRNA from 1 species